rnacentral:rRNA from 1 species
UACGUAGGGGGCAAGCGUUGUCCGGAAUCAUUGGGCGUAAAGAGCGUGUAGGCGGCCCGGUAAGUCCGCUGUGAAAGUCCAGGGCUCAACCCUGGGAUGCCGGUGGACACUGUCGGGCUCGAGUCCGGAAGAGGAGUGUGGAAUUCCUGGUGUAGCGGUGAAAUGCGCAGGAUAUCAGGAGGAACACCGGUGGCGAAGGCGGGUCUCUGGGC